AUGGCUGAUGUGCUUGCUCCGGCUGCUCUGCCUUAUGUGCAAAUGGUUGAUUGGAGACCGCUGUGCCUAGAAGCGAGGCCAUCCCUGUUCCUCGUCCUCUUCACACCCUUGCGUGGUAAGCGGAAAGAGACCAAGAGGCUCAUGGACCAAGCCGGCACCAAGUCCGCGCAAGAGAAGAGGGUACUUCGUAAACUCAAGUGGUUAGCAGAGACCGGACUUGCCUCGCACAUCGACGCCCGGUACCUCUACGUGCUGACCUGCGCCCACAUCAUCGACCAUUUGUUUCACGCAGUGCACAGCCCAAUCCAAGCAGACAAGGUGAACGAGCUGUUCAGGGUCCAGGUCACCUGCCACCACGCCGAGAGAGCCUUCAUCGAGGGCGGGAGGGUCGGCGACCGCGCCUACGCGCCGGCGACGGUGUGCGGGAUCGACUGCGCCAGCGACCUCAUGCUGCUGCGCGUGGACCUCGGCGCCCUGCCCCUGAGGUUCAACGACGAUGGGCAGAUGGAGGCGUGCCCGCAUCCGCACCCGAUCCCGCACUUCUCCCCACACCAUGUGCCGGCCGCCGCCCAGCUGAUGCUGCUUUCUUGGCCCGAGUUCCGGCCCUGCACGUUGGCCACGGGCCUUUACUGCAUGCAGCGGUUUCUGCCUGACAUGAGCACCAACCCUGUUGGAUACGAUCUCUUUCUUCUGGAGGCGUACAUGGGAAGCCAGGGGGGCUCCUCAGGAGGGCCGCUGUUCGAUUCUUUCCGGCGGGUCAAGGGCAUCCUUCACGGCGGCUCCGGCGGACCGCACUCCCACUUUAUCCCGUCCAGACUCAUUCUCCCUUUCAUCCAGGCCUACGCGGUCCCUCCAAAGCCUCCAGCCCCAGCUCCCUCUGCAGAUGACAAGCCAGGCCCUCCUCCGGGGCCGGGACCGGGAGACCGCAAGCGCGGCCCCCCCAAAGAUGACAAGUCGGGUGGCUCCAAGCGACGUCUCUCUUCUGGUUCCCAAGGCAUGAGCAGCAAGUCCGCUGCUGCUGCAGGUGGGCACCGCCGCCGGCGAUACGUGCUCAAUCCCGGCGAUGACUCUUCUCCAACCGAUCGAAGAGGAGGGAGAGGCCUCCUCUUCCACCCGUUCUCCUCGAUCGCCGGCGGGAUGCCUGCUGGAUCGGAGCAACUACUUUGGCUCUCCACGACCUAUACUUUGACUUGCCUUAACCAUAGUCAACAUGUAGCACUCAUGUGGAUUGUUAUGAGAUCGAACCCUCCCAUCGGCAAUUUUAUUUUUUGCCAGCUCUCCGGACCUGGGCCUCAGUGCGCCGCCAGAACCAGAGGUAUUGUCAUCUCAUUGGAAGAUGGCAUGUUCAAGUUCCUCUGCUUAACUAGAUUUGCCAACGAUGAUGUUCCUCUGACCGCAAGGCUAUUCUCUGGGACUAGAACUCAGGGCGUUUUUGUACUUACAAAUUGUAAACUCGCUAGCCAGUACUGCUUGUCGCUUAUCACUUCCAGCUUACAUGGAGAUUCUGGGAGAAGUUUUCCUUUGAGGUUCGCUAGCAAGCAGAGGAGGCACUGUAAGAUGGAUAACUUUGAUGCUAAGUUGUUGUCAAACAGGAGCCUUUGCUGGCUUCAUAUGGGUGAUGGACAAAGAGCUUUUGAUGAUGCAGCUAAAUGCAAAAGGCUGCGUCCAAAGUGGGAAGAGGUGAACUAUCGGCAAGGAACAGCUCUAAUGUUCAUAAAGGAGUAUGAUGCUGCGCAUUCCGCACUCUCGCGCGCUUUAGAGUUGGACCCGGAAAGUGAAGAGACCGACAAAUUAUUCUGGUAUGAAAUCCAUGUUUCAUCUCGUUUUUUCCUCGAGAGUAUUAGAUUAACAUUGUCAGCAGCUGCAGAUUCUAGGGUUAACAUUGUCAGCAGCUGCAGAUUCUAG
rnacentral:rRNA from 1 species